GACGAACGCUGGCGGCGUGCCUAAUACAUGCAAGUCGAACGCUUCUUUCCUCCCGAGUGCUUGCACUCAAUUGGAAAGAGGAGUGGCGGACGGGUGAGUAACACGUGGGUAACCUACCCAUCAGAGGGGGAUAACACUUGGAAACAGGUGCUAAUACCGCAUAACAGUUUAUGCCGCAUGGCAUAAGAGUGAAAGGCGCUUUCGGGUGUCGCUGAUGGAUGGACCCGCGGUGCAUUAGCUAGUUGGUUAGGUAACGGCUCACCAAGGCCACGAUGCAUAGCCGACCUGAGAGGGUGAUCGGCCACACUGGGACUGAGACACGGCCCAGACUCCUACGGGAGGCAGCAGUAGGGAAUCUUCGGCAAUGGACGAAAGUCUGACCGAGCAACGCCGCGUGAGUGAAGAAGGUUUUCGGAUCGUAAAACUCUGUUGUUAGAGAAGAACAAGGACGUUAGUAACUGAACGUCCCCUGACGGUAUCUAACCAGAAAGCCACGGCUAACUACGUG
rnacentral:rRNA from 1 species